GGGCCCGCACAAGCGGUGGAGCAUGUGGUUUAAUUCGAUGAUACGCGAGGAACCUUACCAGGGCUUAAAUGUAAGUUGCAUAAGCUAGAGAUAGCUUUUUCUUCGGACUACUUACAAGGUGCUGCAUGGUUGUCGUCAGCUCGUGCCGUGAGGUGUCAGGUUAAGUCCUAUAACGAGCGCAACCCCUGUUGUUAGUUGCCAUCGAGUAAUGUCGGGAACUCUAACAAGACUGCCGGUGCAAACCGUGAGGAAGGUGGGGAUGACGUCAAAUCAUCACGGCCCUUACGUCCUGGGCUACACACGUACUACAAUGCUACGGACAAAGGGCAGCAAGUUCGCGAGGACAAGCAAAUCCCAUAAACCGUGGCUCAGUUCAGAUCGUAGGCUGCAACUCGCCUACGUGAAGGCGGAAUC
rnacentral:rRNA from 1 species